rnacentral:rRNA from 1 species
UGCAUCGGUUUGAAAAGUUAGCGGAUGACCUGUGGAUCGGAGUGAAAGGCUAAUCAAGCUCGGAGAUAGCUGGUUCUCCUCGAAAGCUAUUUAGGUAGCGCCUCAUGUAUCACUGUAGGGGGUAGAGCACUGUUUCGGCUAGGGGGUCAUCCCGACUUACCAAACCGAUGCAAACUCCGAAUACCUACAAGUGCCGAGCAUGGGAGACACACGGCGGGUGCUAACGUCCGUCGUGAAAAGGGAAACAACCCAGACCGUCAGCUAAGGUCCCAAAGUUAUGGUUAAGUGGGAAACGAUGUGGGAAGGCUUAGACAGCUAGGAGGUUGGCUUAGAAGCAGCCACCCUUUAAAGAAAGCGUAAUAGCUCACUAGUCGAGUCGGCCUGCGCGGAAGAUGUAACGGGGCUCAAACCAUACACCGAAGCUACGGGUAUCAUCUUCGGAUGAUGCGGUAGAGGAGCGUUCUGUAAGCCUGUGAAGGUGAGUUGAGAAGCUUGCUGGAGGUAUCAGAAGUGCGAAUGCUGACAUGAGUAACGAUAAUGGGUGUGAAAAACACCCACGCCGAAAGACCAAGGUUUCCUGCGCAACGUUAAUCGACGCAGGGUUAGUCGGUCCCUAAGGCGAGGCUGAAAAGCGUAGUCGAUGGAAAACAGGUUAAUAUUCCUGUACUUCUGGUUAUUGCGAUGGAGGGACGGAGAAGGCUAGGCCAGCUUGGCGUUGGUUGUCCAAGUUUAAGGUGGUAGGCUGGAAUCUUAGGUAAAUCCGGGAUUCUAAGGCCGAGAGCUGAUGACGAGUUAUCUUUUAGAUGACGAAGUGGUUGAUGCCAUGCUUCCAAGAAAAGCUUCUAAGCUUCAGGUAACCAGGAACCGUACCCCAAACCGACACAGGUGGUUGGGUAGAGAAUACCAAGGCGCUUGAGAGAACUCGGGUGAAGGAACUAGGCAAAAUGGCACCGUAACUUCGGGAGAAGGUGCGCCGGUGAGGGUGAAGGACUUGCUCCGUAAGCUCAUGCCGGUCGAAGAUACCAGGCCGCUGCGACUGUUUAUUAAAAACACAGCACUCUGCAAAGUCGAAAGACGACGUAUAGGGUGUGAUGCCUGCCCGGUGCUGGAAGAUUAAUUGAUGGGGUGAGAGCCCUUGAUCGAAGUCCCAGUAAACGGCGGCCGUAACUAUAACGGUCCUAAGGUAGCGAAAUUCCUUGUC